AGUCCCCGAGACACCCCGCAGCGACGUCCCGCCCCCCCCCCCCCCCCCCCCCCCCCGGCUCGGGCUGCGGCCUUCGGCAAGUUUGGGCACCUCCCGGGCGCGGGCGCUGGGGACCACGAGAGGGACAGAGCCUGGCCCUCGGGGCGCCCACAGUCUGGGGAGAAAGUAACCCCGGUUCAAAAAAACGGAUCAUCUCGGCGAGUGGGCCAAUGGAAAUCCUAAUGCCUCUGACCAGAUUUCUUUGCCAGUGUGGAGACGCUCGGAGCCUCUUCUGAAAACACCAUCGAGAGCAUAAGAGGGGAGGGGGAAGAAGACGAAGACGGAGAGCGACAGGGAGAGAAUCUUUAGCAGGCUGCAGGCUCAGCACGGAGCCCGAUGUCGGUUGAUCCCAUGACCCUGCAUUCGUGACCUGAGCCAAAACAAAAAAUUGGACGCUCGGCCGACUGAGCCACCCAGGCUUUCUUAAGGGUUUGUAAACCUUUGUCCAUAGGCCAGAGCCCCCAGGAGAAGGUGACAUUGUCCUGCCUUUGCAUACAGGGUCGUUUUAGUUCUCUAGUGGGGCUGGAGACCCUAAAUCCCUCUCCUCACGCCUGUGUCUUGCUUGAGGACGUUGGACCCAUCGCUCCAGCACUGAUCAUUCGCUUCCCCGCCUCCCAAACCUGCCAUCAUCACCCUCUGCUGGAGAUGUGCCGACACCCUCAGGCCUAGUCUCGUAAGCGGGACUCAGUGAUGUGUAAAGUUACCGCAGCAAAACACAUCGCAGCUCUUAAGUACUGGGAGAAACACUUCUAAGCAGUAAGACGUUAACAGGAAGGUGUCAAGCUUGCGCCUGGCGAGCUUCCCCUGUAAAGGGUCAGAGAGUGAAUAUUUUAGGCUUUGCGGGCCACAGAGGGUCUCUGUUGCUCAUUUUUGUUCGCUUUAAAAAUGUAAACUAUGCUGGGGUGCCUGGCUGGCUCAGGGGGUAAGGCACUGGCGUGCUCUUGGGGUCACGGGUUGGAGCCCCAUGUUGGGGGUAGAGCUUGCUUAGGUAACUAAAGAAAAAUGUAAACCGUCCUUAGCUCACGGGCCGGGCCAGCACACAAGCAAACACCCGGCUCUUUGGAUGGUGAGGGCUUGUGCUUUUACUAUAAUCACUUUGUACGGGGACUGAGUGUAGGAAGUAUUCAUCAUUAAGUUUGAGAGGCAGGGUUUCUGUUGUAUCUAAUUUAUUUUUAUUUUUAUUUUUUUAACAUUUAUUCAUGUUUGAGAGUGAGAGAGACAGAGCAUGAGCGGGGGAAAGGCAGAGAGAGAGAGGGAGACACAGAAUCCGAAACAGGCUCCAGGCUCUGAGCGGUCAGCACAGAGCCCGAUGCGGGGCUCGAACUUACGAAUCAAGAGAUCAUGACCUGAGCCAAAGUCGGACGCUCAACGGACUGAGCCACCCAGGCGCCCCCGUUGUGUCUAAUUUUGAAUUUGUACUUGCAUGUUCUUUUUCUUGUAUUGUCCCCAAACGUGUUCAACCUUCUUGAAAAAUUGAGACACAAUCGACAUAGAGCACGGUAUCCGUGUUAGGGGUAGAACACAGUGAUUUGGUACGUGUGUGUAUUGCAAAACGAGCACGAGAAGUUAAUGUCUGCCAGAGCUACGAUUUCUUUCUCGUGAUGAGAAGCGUUCUGGUCUACUCUAAAAAAAGUGACAGGUUUUAGUGGCGCCUGGGUGGCUCGGUCUCCUAAGCGUCCCACACCGCAGCGCGUGGCCUGGCGGCGGUGGGGGAGGUGAAGGAUCCUCCCGCCCUGCUCUUCUGUCCCAGGGGCUGGACGAGAGCUCUGAGCCCCACUCCGGAUCUGGCCCUGUCCUGUUCCCAUCCUCGCGAGCCGAGCAGGGAAACGGGCCGAGGCGGCCACCCGCGGACGCCGCGUCGCUCAGCUCCUGGGAACGCAUGCGCGUGCGCACACAGCCUGUACUCAGCUGCAGGUGAGAUCUAUUAAGGCAACGGUGACACUCCAGGCACCCGCGAGCGGCCGGGCAGGCCCCAGGGCCCCCCGCCCCCCCCCCGCCCGCUCCAGAAUGGGUCUCAGCCGUUCUGCCUCCACCCCACACCCCAGAAGGGCCACUUCGCAAGCCAGAAGUCCAAGUCCGUUAGCUAAAGGCGGAUAUCCAGGGGCCUUGAUGUAGCACAGGUGGGAUGUAAGAAACCUAGCCUUUGUUUCUAAGAAGAAAAAAUUUGGAGGGGGCCUGGGGGCCUCCUAGAAAAAAAUCUGUUUCUGGAGACCUCCCCCUACAGACUGAUGAAGGCAGGCAGUGCUUCCUCCGAGGCGGCAGAGGGCGCUCCCCGAGGUGGUAGCUGAGAUGGGCCGGGAGGAAGGGAAGAAACACGCUCCAAGCGAGGCGAGGGGGCGGAGGCUCCAGCGCUCAUGCUGACCCCUCAGGGAAAGACUAGGUCCCUCGAGCCCCCUUCUGACUGUCCUAUUUCUUCUCCUCUGGGGCCUUCUCAGCGACUCCGGGGGCAAAGGGUCCCACCAGCCACAUGAUGGGCGUGUUCUGGGCCACGUACUCAACCAUGUGGUCAAGGGCCUCUCGGGCCUUGGCCACCUGCUCUCGGCUCUGCGUCAGGAUAGUGCUGGACAGGUCCUGGAAGGAAUGGACGCCAGAAAAGGUGGCCUGGAGGCCCUCCACCUGGUGGCGAGCCUGCUGAACCUGGUCCUUCACGUGGGAGGGCAGCCCCUGGAUGCUGGACCCCAGCGAGGCACAGGUGUUCUGCAGCUGCUGGGCAAUGUCGCGGAACAUGGUAUCUACCCAAGAGAAAUGGAGACACACGACCAUACACGGGCUGGGGCUGGUCACAGGACGUGAUCCACAGGAGGCAAAAGUGGACACAACCCAGAAGCCCAUCAACUUGUAAACGGACGUUUUUCAGGUUUUUUUUUAAGAGGACGUCUGGAAGAACGUUCCAGGCAGGAGCUGUGUGGUGGGGGAGACAGAAGUGUAAAUGCGUGCAUCGGGACCUUAACACCCCACCCCCACCACAGGGGGGGGAGGGAGCAGGCUGGGAGGCAGGACUUUGCCCUCAACCCGCCAUCAGAGCGCUCGCUCGCUUGCUCGCUCGGGACUUGAACCUGACAGGGAGGUGCCGACCAGAGUCAACACCCACAUCUCGAGGUUGCCAUGGUCAGCGGUGGGGGAGAAGGGAGAGGGAGGCGGACGUAGUUGGGUCUGAAUGCUAACAAUUUUGCACCUGCAGAGACAGCAGGGGAUAUCUUCACAAAUGCCAUUUUUGAAGGGUUUACUAUGUGCUUUAUGUAGCAACUCAGUUUCUUUUAGAGACGUAUGUAACUCACGGACCAGAAAAUUCACCCUUUUAAGUAUAUAGUUCCGUGGUUGUUAGUACAUUCACAAGGUUGUGCAACCACUGCCUCGAACUCCAGAACAUUCCAUCUCCCACCAAAGAAGGCUCCUCCCCAUGAAGCAGUCCGUCCUGACCCCCUCCCCAAGCCUCUGACAACCUUGAACCCCUUCCCGUCUGUGGAUGAGCCUGUUCGGGGCGUUUCACACACGUGGACUCACACCCCGUGGGGCCUCUUGUGUCUGGUUCCCUCCCUGAGCGUCGGGUGUUCAGGGCCUGUCCGUGGGGCGGCAGGUGUGGGCGCCUCACUCCUGCUCGCAGCUGAGUGACGCCCCCCCCAUUCGUAGUGGACACGUUGGUGCUGGGACCCAGGAGAAGGGAAACAUGGCAGGGUUUAGAGUUCAGCAGGUUAAGAGGCGUCACAAGUGUCCUGCAGUUCAAAGCAACACCCACACCUAAAGGAGGAAAUCAAGGUGGGCUUCCUGGAAGAGGUGCCGUCACGUCCUAAAGGUGGUUAAUGGCUGGAGAGGCUGUGGAAAGCCUUCCAAGCAGGUAGGUCCAUCCGACAGAGGCGCGGAGAAGGAAGGAAGUCAGGGCCCUAAGGAUCCCACAGGCACCCCACGUUGGUACCUCCGGUUUGGCUGGGUUCUCCUCGGUGCCCCGGAGCUCCUUCUGGUUCCAGCUGAGCCACAUCUGGUGCAGUUUCUCCUGACCGUCCACCAGCUUCUGAUCGACUCCGUGCUUGACGGUUUCCAUCUGGAGCAGGGGAGGGGAGAGAGGGAGAGAGGGAGAGAGGGAGAGAGAGUGAGAGGCUGCCUCCAGCCCCUGGCCAAUGCCCGCGGAGCCCCACACGCGUCCCAGGAGAGGCAGGAGUCCGGAGAGAGGCCCACAGAGUCCUUUUAUCCGGGAGGAGGUGGUCUGUGAAGGGGAGGAAAGCGGGACACUGUCCUCACGUAUGCUCUCCCCGCUGUGGUCUCAUCACCGACAGGGGCACAUAUGCGCCGCUUGCAAAGGGAGGGACCACACAUUCCCUGCACCUCCUCCCAUUUCGUCUGCUGCUCCUUGUGACUGGGCCCGGCCCCGAGACUGGCUUUGACCAACGGAAUGUAGCAGAGCCUUGAACACCGUUUCAAUGGAAUGUUAUUCAGCCUUAAAAAGUCAGGACGUCCUGCCGCCUGCCACCGCGUGGAGGGACCCGGAGGACACUGUGCGCAGGGACAGGAGCCAGACACAGAAGGACACGUCCCGCAGGACCCCACGCACAGGGGGUCCCCAGAGGAGUCCCGUCCACAGGGACAAAGUAGAUGGUGGGAGCCAGGGGUGGGGAGUCCGUGCUUCAUGGGGACAGAGUCUCGGUCUAGGGAGAUGGAAAGUUCUGGAGCCGGAUGGCGGGGGCGGGUGCACGACAGUGUGAGCGUGCCUGAUGCCGCUGAGCUGUGCGCUUGGAAAUGGUUAAAAGUGGCCAAUCUUACCCCAAUCAAAAAUUGAAGAAAAAGAGGGAGGAGGGGCGCCUGGGUGGCUCAGUCGCUUAAGCAUCUGACUUCGGCUCAGGUCAUCUCGCGGUUUGUGAGUUCAAGCCCCGCAUCAGGCCCUGUGCUGACAGCUCAGAGCCUGGAGCCAGCUUGGGAUUCUGUGUCUCUG